rnacentral:tRNA from 1 species
GCUUCUGUAGCUUAACGGAUAGAGUACUGGCCUCCGAAGCCGGUGAUGGGAGUUCGAUUCUCCCCAGAAGCA